rnacentral:lncRNA from 1 species
GUUUUAUGUUUUUGUGUGUUUUCUUUUACAACAUGACUAAUAUGGAAAUGUAUUUGGCAUGACCUCACAUAUACAAUCAAAAUCAAGAUUCUUAAUUUCUGAAGGACUGAAUCACCAGAUGACUGAAGUUAUAGAAGAUGUGGUGAACCUCAUUGUAGAAGGAUUUGUCUGAUCCAGUUUGCUCCCAUUCUAAUUGAAGUCAACAUAUAAAGAAGUAUAUGCAUAUAAAGUAGAGUGAAGAUAAUCCCUAAGAGUAAAGUGGCAUCAACAAAGAGGAAUCAGACAGUUCUUCAGAAUGUGAAAUUUGAACUGAGUAACAAGAGAAGAAUAUAAACACUUAAUGGUUGAGGUGAGGAAGGAGAAAAUUCUAGAUGUGGGGAAUAGUAAGAACAAAGGAAUGGAAAUGAGAAAUGAAGUACACUGAGUGAACCCUAAUUGAAUUGAGACUUGAACCACUCAUU